rnacentral:misc_RNA from 1 species
CCAAUAGCGUAUAUUAAAGUUGUUGUGGUUAAAAAGCUCGUAGUUGAACCUUGGGCCUGGCUGGCCGGUCCGCCUCACCGCGUGUACUGGUCCGGCCGGGCCUUUCCCUCUGUGGAACCUCAUGCCCUUCACUGGGUGUGACGGGGAAGCAGGACUUUUACUGUGAAAAAAUUAGAGUGCUCCAAGCAGGCCUAUGCUCGAAUACCUUAGCAUGGAAUAAUAAAAUAGGACGUGCGGUUCUAUUUUGUUGGUUUCUAGGACCGCCGUAAUGAUUAAUAGGGACAGUCGGGGGCAUCAGUAUUCAAUUGUCAGAGGUGAAAUUCUUGGAUUUAUUGAAGACUAACUACUGCGAAAGCAUUUGCCAAGGAUGUUUUCAUUAAUCAGGAACGAAAGUUAGGGGAUCGAAGACGAUCAGAUACCGCCCUAGUUCUAACCAUAAACGAUGCCAACCAGCGAUUAGCCUGAGUUCCUUAAAUGACUCGGCUAGCAGCUUCCG